rnacentral:misc_RNA from 1 species
GUAUUUAUGGAAUCGUCCGGCCAGAAACGGGGAAGAGCCCAUGCUGUCGUAGAGGCCUCGUCGAGUGCUUCCGCUACGCCUAAUUCUGAGGAUGAUGAUAAGCGGAAAAAAGUGUCCCGCCAAGACGCCAAUGGCAAAGAGUCAGAGCCGCCCAUAAAUGGGGCGCAACCUGAAGUACCAUCCAUUGCGUUCUUAAAGAAAAGAAUUAAAACAGUUCUAAGGUCCUGUCGAGAUAGGAACCCUAGGGAGAGCACAUUACGCUCUACUUACGAGGAUCUUCACCUUGAAACGGCGAGCGCCGAGAAGCGGGUAAAAAUCGCCCAGGCCCUAGAAAAUCUGUACAGGCGAAGCCAAUAUUUCCGGAGUAACAAAAGGCAGCAG